rnacentral:lncRNA from 1 species
GUUUGUUACUUUUUUUUCUUUCGGUCAGUACAUAUUAGAAUUUGAACUACAUGAGGUUCUUUAUCAAAACUAUUCUUGUUGAAUAUUUAUAUCUUAUUACAAGUAAUAAUUCCUUAUAUGGAGGUUUUGUUUAAAGCACUAACAAUAAUAUUGUGUAAAAGAUACUCAAUGAAUGUGAAAUUCAACAAGUAAUGAGGAGUUCACUUCCCAAGUGGUGUCAUUUGUUCAUACUUGCGUUUACUUGUCUUGCUAUCUUCUGACACUUCAUUUUGAAGGAUGUCUGUGUUGUACCUAACUUUUCAAGUCUGGUGCUGACUGUUGUUCUUAGCAUCACAAACAGUUUGUGUCAUUGAAUUUCCUGCUGUUAACAGAAACAACAGGAAAGCUCAGCUUUGUAUAGUGUUUCCUAAAGUAUAUUAAAAUAAAAAAGAAACGAUUGCUACUAUAAAGCUACAUGGGCUUUUUCUUUUACCCCCGUUUGCUUAAAAAUUUUAGUCAAUAUGGCCUUAGCCUGACACUGCCAGGAUUGCACCAAAUCAUAGGAGUUUUUGUUUGUUUGUUUUUGUUUUUGUUUUUUUUUUUUUUUUUGUCUUAUCAAAAUUGUAACAUCUGACUUAAGAAUUGCCAUUGUUGGGCAGGUGUGUACUUCCAGAUCUACAAUCAAGGGAUUUUUGUUUUAUACCAGAAUCAAUGUUAACUUUCUGAAUGCCUGAAAUUUAAAUGUUACUUCUUUGCUUUGACUAUAUUUAAUUAUAUUUAAGCUAAAGAACCUAUCUCUAAGUUUAAUAAAUCUGAAAUGAUAGUAUGAUGUUUGCUGAUGGAGAGGAAGGGAUAGCUUUAUACAGGAAGCUGACUUCCAUUUGUUACUUUCAAAAAAAUUUUAAACAUUAAGAAAAGACAUGUCCUUAGUUAUGAUGAAAUGUCUAAACCGGUGCAGUUAUUACCAUUUGCCGAACUGUGCUCAUGUAUGUUAAUGGUGUCUUCAGCCUGUACAGUGUCUGUCUGGGCAAAGGACUCUACAGGUUUGUAGUUUAAGAGGGGACCAUAUAGUCAGGUGCAGCUGACUUGUGAGUUGCAUAAGUCAAUCUUGUCAGUCCUCCAUCUAUGUCACUAUCCCUCUUUGUUUUAAUGACUACAGCCCUAUAUGGAUUAGUUAAUAUUUUAGAAAAAAAUGUUUAAUUUGAAAUUUCUUGAGGUAUUUUGUAGUAUUUGAUCCAAUUGCAUUUUUGUAGUAAAACUUUAAACAUUGCCCUUUAUCUACAUAUGGUGUUUGGCUCUUAGCCUCUGGAAGUGACUAAGGCAUAUAUAUCUGUUAGAGCAGGGUCAGUAACCUAAGGGUUAUCCUUAGGUGCCAUGAAUUUGAACAUGUAACUGGGUUUAAGGAAUUUGAAAAUUAGAAACUCUGCAUAGCUCUAGAAAACCUCCCUUCUGCCUAUUUAAAAAGUGAAUAUUUACUGCUCUUCACCACAUGGGGUUGUGAUAAAUCUGUUAGAAAAAUCUUCCCCAAAGAACCAGCAGGACUCCUUAUUUUUCUUGUUCUAUUUAGUCUUAAGUUAGUUUUAAAACUUGGGACUGUAAAUGUUUUUUAAGAAAUACAGAAUACUCUAUAAUUUUGCUCCCUAAAAUAGAUGGCAUUAUGUUUAUUUCAUGCUUGUAAAAUAAUCUUAUGGAGGAAGUGCUGAAAACAAGCAAAUGAGAUUGCUUUUCCUAUUUAAUAUUCUGUGUAUAAGUACCUUAGCUCUAAGGGAAUUCUUCAAAGAGCAACAUGCAGGAAAGACCAUUUACUCCCCUACCAGAGCCUUGAAGUCCCUGCUUCAAGCUACUGUGUUUAGGUGCUGAGUUUAAAUAUCCAGAGUUCUUUUCAAUACCUGUAAAUACUGCUUUUAUUCUUGUAUUUGUACAGAAGUGUGCGAAAUGAUACAAAAAAGUAAUAAAAAUGUUUUGACUCUA